rnacentral:rRNA from 1 species
AAUGUCGAUAAACAAAGGGGAAUGCAACCCUGCGUAAAUGUGAGACAAAUCCCCAAAAAUAACGUACCCAAUUCCGGGGACUGGUAGUGCUGCAACCCCGCCUGGCACUAAAGCUAGGAAUCGCUAGUUAAUCGCAGAAUCACGAAUGCUGCGGGUGAAAUACGUUCCCGAGGUCUUGUACACACCCGCCCGUACUACACCAUGGGAGUCUGGAGAAUGCCCAAAGUAAGUGGCCUAACCGUAACGAAUGUGUCCCCCAUCAUAUAGA